GUGUGUGUGUCUUCCUUCCUUUUCAUGCAUGCUUGAGUAUUUUAUUGUAUGUUUCUCUCUGCCUCUGCAGCUCCAACAGGAGCCACAGUUUUGUGUGGUCCCAUAGUAGUCUGAGGAUAUUCCUGAAUUUACGAUUUAGAUGUUUUCAUUUUAAUUUAAAGCAUUAAGUAUUUGUGUGUCAAGCCUAAGUUGCUUCAAUAUACAACAAAACAUUUUUAAAAGCUUAAAUGCAUAUUUUUUUAGAAAUGUUUCUUUGCUGUUUGCAGACUGUAUUUUUAAAAAAAUCCAAAAUUAAACGUCACAAUGGGAGGUCCCCCAUUUGUUUCUAUGUCCAGGCUCCUUGAUCUUGUUCUUGCUUCAUAUAAUUUCCUUGUAAAUCUUAUUAAAUUGUGCCCCCCGUCUCUUGCUGCUGUUUUCUGCUUGUUAUAUAACUGUGUUGUUCUCGGCUCAGGCUCUUCACGCCUCAUUCUGUGGCUCUGUGCUACCUGCGUCAAACCCAACUCUUCCUCCCUAUUAAACAGCCAAGAUUUCCAAUAAACCCUCGGCUUCCUCGGUGACAAGGUGGGAGGGAGGGCGGCGGAGGCAGAGAAAUCCUCCCGCUGUUUCAUAAUUGUAUGAAUUUUAAAUACACUGUCAUAAGAGCCUCUUCCGCAUUCACAGCGGGGGAACGGGACUAUCAUGAUAAUAUUAGAGCUACAGGGUUAGCUGACCGUGAAGAGCGAGGCGCUCUCGCCACCUCUGUUCACACAUGCAGGCCAGAUGGCCACAGAGGCUGCAUUCACAUUCAGAAUCACAUUAGGUAUAUGUGUGUGUGUGUGUGUGUGUGUGUGUGUGUGUGUGUGUGUGUGUGUGUGUGUGUGUGUGUGUGUGUGGAUGUGUAUUUUCUAAACAUAACCUCCUUUCCUUUAAUUCCUAGAGUGCAUUAAAAUUACUUUAGAUUGUCUUUCUCUUUGUGCAAAAAUUGAGAAUAUUACUCAUGAGGUGUUUUGUGAUGCAUCAUCAAUACAGGAUGAAUUAGGCGGUGUCCGAGUGAAAUUAAGUCCAAUGAAUAUUCAAAUAUGUUGCUGAACAGUGAUAUCAAAUUAGGCCUAAGUCCUUCAUGGAUCCCUGGAGGUUUCCAUGUCUUGCAGGCACGCCGAGGCUUAUUAAAGGCUAAAACAUAAGCAUCAAAUGUGGGCGCAUCUAGAAACAUCCACUGCUGCUUUCUGGAAACAAAGACUGAAUGAAACCAAAACAAUCACUCAGUCACCGGCAAAUAUGUUUAUGUUAAGCUGUUAUAAUGCCUGUUGGUUUCUAAGCGCCUUGAUGUGAAUGGACGGCAAAAAUAAUAAACAGAUUUUCAGAUAAAUUCUUAAAAAUCACGGGAUUGAACCUGCCUGCGAACCUUUUAGCCCAUCCCUGAAAUCAAUUACAGCCACCCUCCACAGCUUACGCUUGUUAACCCUGGGCUCUGUGAGGAAGAUCAGAACACAAAUAAUUAAAAAAAAAAAAGAGCCUGAAACACAGAGACCGUGAACUCCUCCGCUGCAGACCCUUCACUGCCUCGUUAGCGCUUAAUUAAAUAAAACUGAACCGAGAUCAGUUGAAUUAAAAGUAUGCGACAAGCAGAAACGAUAGGAAUGUGCUGGCAGGGGUGAUAUUGAUAAACUAAAAAAUAGCUCAAAGUGGCAUCUUUUAUUUUUGGGUCAUUUUUGGUAUCUUUUGAUCAGCAGUCUUAGCCUGCAUGACAUUUUUCUGUUCAUUUUUAGGAAGAAUAUUGCAGAAUAAGAAAGUAGUCUUUCCUGUUAAAACUGAAGAAGAAGCGAAUUUAGAUGAUCACCCUAGUUUGGUGAUUAAAAAACCCAAACGUUUGUCCAAUUUAUGUCAGACUGAGACUUAUGGCACAUUCCUCAACAGCAUGGGGUCUGUUUUUCUCCCAUUUUGGGUUGUUUUUGAAUGAAGAAGUACAAUUUUGACAUAAUCUCACUCUUUUCUCCAAACCCUGGACAAUAUUUUUAUGGCUUUUUUAUCUCAGACAUCUCAUUGAAUCUAUUUUUGGUCACAACAAAGACCUCUAAAACAUUAACACCAAAAGAGCGUGGAACACCUACUUUUUCUCCCAUAAAACAGAAAACUAGACCGGCUGAUUAUUUCAGAAACCGCUGAUUCUGUACAUUGCUCAGAUUUAUGGAGGAUGGUCCAAAAAGAGAAAACAUCCAGGUCUGUGAAUGAAAAUCACUUCUUUGAUGACUGCUUGAGAGAAUAGAAAUGCAACAGUCAUGGAAACGUUUUAUAAAACCAAGGAAUGUGGGAUGCCAAUCUCUGAAUGGACAACUGGUCAAACCUUAAAGCAGAUGAGCUACAGCUGCAGACGACCACACUAAGAACAGGAAACUGAGGCGGUGAUUCAGAAAGCCAUACCAAAAUUGGACAAUGAAAGGUUGUGGAAAAUGACAGCUGCUUUGUUGUUUUCACGUGGUAGUCAGAUUUUGGCGUAAACAACAUGAAAACACGGAUCCAUCAUAGUGUAGCUGACAAAUUGGCAGCAAUUGCAUAAUGCUAUUAUUACAAUACAAAUCAAAUUCUCCAGAUGUUUUUGAUGCCUUGUGGAGUCUAUGCCACAAAGAAUUAAGCAAGUUUUAAUGUAGAUAAUAAGGUAGCCAUGUUGAAAUGUAGAUUUUAUCUAAAUUGGUAGCUCUUGCGUUUAAGUUUUUUUUAUAUAUUUCAUUAACGGUUGCCGAGUUUUCAUUUGAGAAGCCCUAACUUUUCUUUUAAUUACAUCAGUAAUUCUUAAUGAGUCUUAACUACAUCGACAUCUAUGCUUUCUCACAACCUUUUCUCCAGACGCUCCAAACAUCCAUGCAGCAGUUUGAAAAAUAAAACCGUGACUUUGGAGCUCAGACAUCAUCUUUGUCCAAAUUUGACCUGAACAAAUAUGUUUAAAAUCAGGUUUGUUUACAACAAAAAACCUAAACUUUUAAACCAUAUUUAGAUGUUCAGACGAAGUCUGCUUCUGUCUCAUUUGGAUAUUUUCUUAUUUGAGGGGUUACGUUUGGCUGCUACUAAUACCCUCCAGAGUGCGACGCCCAGAAACACACACACACACACACACGCACGCACGCACGCACGCACGCACGCACGCACACACUCCAUGUUCACAGCCAGCCUCUAUAAACCUCUACCUGAGCGGUUUAUGCAGGCCCAAACAAGUGAAAACCAGGAAAAAAAAGCAACACACAGAUACAUAUUUCACUCCAACGAUGACAAGAACAAGGCCUCUGUGGUGAACACCAGGCAGGUUAAAGCUCAGCAAGGAGGGGAAAUGCAGCAGCAGCAGCAGCAAUGGGAAAACUUGUAAAUGACCAGAAUAGUUUAAUGGGUGAAAUGGUAUCCAGGCAGGCAGGGAAACGGGAACUGUACCUCAACAGUGUUCGUGCUUGUGUGUGUGUCAGUGUGUGUGUUUUGUUUCUCACCAAAACCUCUCUUAGGUAUCAAUAUAAUGAAAGCGUUUGUUGUUAAAUAAUAGCAGAGGUUAAAGUUUAGACUGUAGUUGGAGAAAAUUAGAAAAAAAA